rnacentral:rRNA from 1 species
AUUGAACGCUGGCGGCAGGCCUAACACAUGCAAGUCGAGCGGAUGAAGGGAGCUUGCUCCUGGAUUCAGCGGCGGACGGGUGAGUAAUGCCUAGGAAUCUGCCUGGUAGUGGGGGAUAACGUCCGGAAACGGGCGCUAAUACCGCAUACGUCCUGAGGGAGAAAGUGGGGGAUCUUCGGACCUCACGCUAUCAGAUGAGCCUAGGUCGGAUUAGCUAGUUGGUGGGGUGAAGGCCUACCAAGGCGACGAUCCGUAACUGGUCUGAGAGGAUGAUCAGUCACACUGGAACUGAGACACGGUCCAGACUCCUACGGGAGGCAGCAGUGGGGAAUAUUGGACAAAGGGCGAAAGCCUGAUCCAGCCAUGCCGCGUGUGUGAAGAAGGUCUUCGGAUUGUAAAGCACUUUAAGUUGGGAGGAAGGGCAGUAAGUUAAUACCUUGCUGUUUUGACGUUACCAACAGAAUAAGCACCGGCUAACUUCGUG